rnacentral:rRNA from 1 species
AAUAUUGCGCAAUGGAGGGAACUCUGACGCAGCGACGCCGCGUGAGCGAUUAAGGUUUUCGGAACGUAAAGCUAUUUCCUUGGGGAAGAUGGUCAUCGGACUUGCCGGUCACUCAGUCGCAAGACCCGGCUAACUACUAGUUAGUAGCAGCGGUAAUACGUAGGGGGCAAUCGUUGUCCGGCAUUAUUGGGCGUAAAGGGUGCGUAGGCGGCCUUUUAAGUCAGGUGUGAAAGCCCACGGCUUAACCGUGGGAUUGCAUUUGAAACUGGAAGGCUUGAGUAUCGGAGAGGGUAGUGGAAUUCCCAGUGUAGCGGUGGAAUGCGUAGAUAUUGGGAGGAACACCAGUGGCGAAGGCGACUACCUGGACGAAAACUGACGCUGAGGCACGAAAGCUAGGGGAGCAAAC